rnacentral:rRNA from 1 species
UACGUAGGCAGCAAGCGUUGUUCGGAAUUACUGGGCGUAAAGAGUGUGUAGGCGGUGCUCUAAGUUCGGUGUGAAAUCCCCCGGCUUAACCUGGGAACUGCGUCUGAUACUGGGAGGCUUGAGUAUGGGAGAGGGAUGUAGAAUUCCAGGUGUAGCGGUGAAAAUGCGUAGAUAUCUGGAGGAAUACCGGUGGCGAAGGCGGCAUCCUGGACCAUAACUGACGCUGAGGCGCGAAAGCUAGGGGAGCAAACGGG